CAUGGUUCAAAAGUGAAAGACGGUCUUGCUGUCACUUAUAGAUGGAUCCGCGCUGCAUUAGCUAGUUGGUAAGGUAACGGCUUACCAAGGCAACGAUGCAUAGCCGACCUGAGAGGGUGAUCGGCCACACUGGAACUGAGACACGGUCCAGACUCCUACGGGAGGCAGCAGUAGGGAAUCUUCCGCAAUGGGCGAAAGCCUGACGGAGCAACGCCGCGUGAGUGAUGAAGGUCUUCGGAUCGUAAAACUCUGUUAUUAGGGAAGAACAUAUGUGUAAGUAACUGUGCACAUCUUGACGGUACCUAAUCAGAAAGCCACGGCUAACUACGUGCCAGCAGCCGCGGUAAUACGUAGGUGGCAAGCGUUAUCCGGAAUUAUUGGGCGUAAAGCGCGCGUAGGCGGUUUUUUAAGUCUGAUGUGAAAGCCCACGGCUCAACCGUGGAGGGUCAUUGGAAACUGGAAAACUUGAGUGCAGAAGAGGAAAGUGGAAUUCCAUGUGUAGCGGUGAAAUGCGCAGAGAUAUGGAGGAACACCAGUGGCGAAGGCGACUUUCUGGUCUGUAACUGACGCUGAUGUGCGAAAGCGUGGGGAUCAAACAGGAUUAGAUACCCUGGUAGUCCACGCCGUAAACGAUGAGUGCUAAGUGUUAGGGGGUUUCCGCCCCUUAGUGCUGCAGCUAACGCAUUAAGCACUCCGCCUGGGGAGUACGACCGCAAGGUUGAAACUCAAAGGAAUUGACGGGGACCCGCACAAGCGGUGGAGCAUGUGGUUUAAUUCGAAGCAACGCGAAGAACCUUACCAAAUCUUGACAUCCUUUGACAACUCUAGAGAUAGAGCCUUCCCCUUCGGGGGACAAAGUGACAGGUGGUGCAUGGUUGUCGUCAGCUCGUGUCGUGAGAUGUUGGGUUAAGUCCCGCAACGAGCGCAACCCUUAAGCUUAGUUGCCAUCAUUAAGUUGGGCACUCUAAGUUGACUGCCGGUGACAAACCGGAGGAAGGUGGGGAUGACGUCAAAUCAUCAUGCCCCUUAUGAUUUGGGCUACACACGUGCUACAAUGGACAAUACAAAGGGCAGCGAAACCGUGAGGUCAAGCAAAUCCCAUAAAGUUGUUCUCAGUUCGGAUUGUAGUCUGCAACUCGACUACAUGAAGCUGGAAUCGCUAGUAAUCGUAGAUCAGCAUGCUACGGUGAAUACGUUCCCGGGUCUUGUACACACCGCCCGUCACACCACGAGAGUUUGUAACACCCGAAGCCGGUGGAGUAACCUUUUAGGAGCUAGCCGUCGAAGGUGGGACAAAUGAUUGGGGUGAAGUCGUAACAAGGUAGCCGUAUCGGAAGGUGCGGCUGGAUCACCU
rnacentral:rRNA from 1 species